UACGGAGGAUCCAAGCGUUGUUCGGAAUCAUUGGGCUUAAAGGGUCCGUAGGCGGGUUGAUAAGUCAGUGGUGAAAGCCUGCAGCUUAACUGUAGAACUGCCAUUGAUACUGCAGAUCUUGAAGUAUUAUGAAGUGGUUAGAAUAUGUAGUGUAGCGGUGAAAUGCAUAGAUAUUACAUAGAAUACCGAUUGCGAAGGCAGGUCACUAAUAAUUUACUGACGCUGAUGGACGAAAGCGUAGGUAGCGAACAGG
rnacentral:misc_RNA from 1 species